AGGGUUUGAUCCUGGCUCAGGACGAACGCUGGCGGCGUGCCUAACACAUGCAAGUCGAACGCGUCUGUGCUUCGGCACAGAUGAGUGGCGAACGGGUGAGUAACGCGUGAGUAACUCCCCUUGGGGAGGGGGAUAACCAUCUGAAAAGGUGGCUAAUACCCCAUAUUCUCUUUUCUCAUAAGAGGAAGGAGGAAAGGUGGCGCAAGCUGCCACCCCGAGAGAGGCUCGCGUCCCAUCAGCUAGUUGGUAGGGUAAUGGCCUACCAAGGCUAUGACGGGUAGCUGGUCUGAGAGGAUGGUCAGCCACACUGGGACUGAGACACGGCCCAGACUCCUACGGGAGGCAGCAGUGAGGAAUCUUGGGCAAUGGGCGAAAGCCUGACCCAGCGACGCCGCGUGGAGGAAGAAGGCCUUCGGGUCGUAAACUCCUGUUUGGGGAGAAGAACAAGAGAGAAGUUAAUAGCUUCUCUCUCUGACGGUAUCCCCGGAGAAAGCUCCGGCUAAUUACGUGCCAGCAGCCGCGGUAAUACGUAAGGAGCGAGCGUUGUCCGGAUUUACUGGGCGUAAAGGGCUCGUAGGUGGUUUCUUAGGUCUCACGUGAAAUUCCCUGGCUCAACCAGGGAGGGUCGUGGGAAACCGAGAGGCUAGAGGGCAGGAGAGGAGAGUGGAAUUCCCGGUGUAGCGGUGAAAUGCGUAGAGAUCGGGAGGAACACCAGUGGUGAAGACGGCUCUCUGGACUGUCCCUGACACUGAGGAGCGAAAGCCAGGGGAGCAAACCGGAUUAGAUACCCGGGUAGUCCUGGCCGUAAACGAUGGGUACUAGGUGUGGGGGGUUCGACCCCCUCCGUGCCGCAGUUAACGCAUUAAGUACCCCGCCUGGGGAGUACGGCCGCAAGGUUGAAACUCAAAGGAAUUGACGGGGGCCCGGCCCGCACAAGCGGUGGAGCAUGUGGUUUAAUUCGAUGCAACGCGAGGAACCUUACCAGGGCUUGACAUGCUGGUGGUAGGAGCCCGAAAGGGUAACGACCUCUGGUUUACCAGAGGAGCCAGUACAGGUGCUGCAUGGUUGUCGUCAGCUCGUGUCGUGAGAUGUUGGGUUAAGUCCCACAACGAGCGCAACCCCUGUCCUUAGUUGCCACAGGUAAUGCUGAGCACUCUAAGGAGACUGCCAGGGACAACCUGGAGGAAGGUGGGGAUGACGUCAAAUCCUCAUGGCCCUUAUGUCCUGGGCGACACACGUGCUACAAUGGCCAGUACAGAGGGUUGCAAACCCGUAAGGGGGAGCCAAUCCCAGAAAACUGGCCCCAGUUGGGAUUGUCGGCUGCAACUCGCCGACAUGAACGAGGAAUCGCUAGUAAUCGCGCAUCAGCCACGGCGCGGUGAAUACGUUCCCGGGCCUUGUACACACCGNNNNNNNNUAAUCGCGCAUCAGCCACGGCGCGGUGAAUACGUUCCCGGGCCUUGUACACACCGCCCGUCACACCACGAAAGUCGAUUCCACCUGAAGUCAUCGGGCUAACCCCGUAAGGGGAGGCAGGUGCCUAGGGUGGGGUUGAUGAUUGGGGUGAAGUCGUAACAAGGUAGCCGUAGGGGAACCUGCGGCUG
rnacentral:rRNA from 1 species